GACGAACGCUGGCGGCGUGCCUAAUACAUGCAAGUAGAACGCUGAAGGAGGAGCUUACUUCUCUGGAUGAGUUGCGAACGGGUGAGUAACGCGUAGGUAACCUGCCUGGUAGCGGGGGAUAACUAUUGGAAACGAUAGCUAAUACCGCAUAAGAGUAGAUGUUGCAUGACAUUUACUUAAAAGGUGCAAUUGCACCACUACCAGAUGGACCUGCGUUGUAUUAGCUAGUUGGUGGGGUAACGGCUUACCAAGGCGACGAUACAUAGCCGACCUGAGAGGGUGAUCGGCCACACUGGGACUGAGACACGGCCCAGACUCCUACGGGAGGCAGCAGUAGGGAAUCUUCGGCAAUGGACGGAAGUCUGACCGAGCAACGCCGCGUGAGUGAAGAAGGUUUUCGGAUCGUAAAGCUCUGUUGUAAGAGAAGAACGAGUGUGAGAGUGGAAAGUUCACACUGUGACGGUAUCUUACCAGAGAGGGACGGCUAACUACGUGCCAGCAGCCGCGGUAA
rnacentral:rRNA from 1 species